UAGGGAAUCUUCCACAAUGGACGCAAGUCUGAUGGAGCAACGCCGCGUGAGUGAAGAAGGGUUUCGGCUCGUAAAGCUCUGUUGUUAAAGAAGAACGUGGGUAAGAGUAACUGUUUACCCAGUGACGGUAUUUAACCAGAAAGCCACGGCUAACUACAUGCCAG
rnacentral:rRNA from 1 species